rnacentral:rRNA from 1 species
UACGGGGGGAGCAAGCGUUGUUCGGAUUUACUGGGCGUAAAGGGCGCGUAGGCGGCCACCGCAGUUCAAUUGUGAAAUCUCCGGGCUUAACUCGGAAAGGUCAACUGAUACUGCGGGGCUAGAGUGCGGAAGGGGCAACUGGAAUUCUCGGUGUAGCGGUGAAAUGCGUAGAUAUCGAGAGGAACACCUGCGGCGAAGGCGGGUUGCUGGGCUGACACUGACGCUGAGGCGCGAAAGCCAGGGGAGCAAACGGG